GGAGGGGUGCCGGAGCGGCCGAACGGGACGGUCUUGAAAACCGUUGAGGCGCAAGCCUCCGUGGGUUCGAAUCCCACUCCCUCCGCAA
rnacentral:tRNA from 1 species